GAUUUGUAUCUCGAAGAUUUGCCACAGUUGAGAGAGAUAUAUGACGGUUAUGAGUUCAGCCUCCCAUCUGGUACUACACGCAUACGACGUUGUCCAUAUAUGCACAAUAUUCCACUAUUGGAAUACGAGGCCUCAUGAGAACCGGAGAUCAAAUCCGAAAAUUAAAACUAAAAAGGUGAUGAGGAGCUUUGGUCUUCUAAUGUUUUCUUUAUCUGCAUUUGUGUUUUACUAAAUGCUGUGUGAAAGUGUGUUAAAUUUGUGUCAGUAUGUUACAAAUUAUACACAUAAGAAAUUAGAUAUCUUUAUUUUGAAAUUGUGUUUGACUUGAGA